ensembl:snoRNA
AUCCUUUUAUAGUUCACAAGCAUAAUGACUGGGUGUUCAUAUGCUUGUUUGAGAUGUGCCACCCUCAAACCUUGUUUCAAUGUUGGCAUAUUACCCAUCUGACA